rnacentral:lncRNA from 1 species
GUCCAGCUGAGGCCCUCUUGGACAACACUUCCUCUCCUGCCCAUGAUGAGGAAACUGAGGCCCCACGUGGUGAAGACAAUUUUUACCCGAAUCCACCCACAACAAGAGACCAUUUGGAUAAUGUACAUUAUGGGAAGAGAACAGAGUCUCAGUGAAGAUCAUGUUUCCCCAGCAACACAGGUGCCAGGAGUAGCUGGCUCUGGUCCCAGCCCAGACUCAGAAAUCCUGAGCCACCAGACCAUUUCUAGAUUAACAAAGGCCUGCAUUAAUUUGAUUUCAGUGACCCACUGGAAACCAGUGUCAGCAUAACAACAGUUACGAGAGCUAAACCUACAAAAUAGAAACACAAGUAAAACUUGUUCAAGUGGUUUGCAGUCAUUGAACAUAGAUCAGCUCCUAUGAAAACAAACUCCAUGGGUUUUCUUUGAUGGCAGUUCUGCUCUAAAGAUGGAUAAGGAAGGAGGUUCCAAGAUGGCCGAAUAGGAACAGCUCCAGUCUACAGCUCCCAGCAUGAGCAACGCAGAAGACAGGGGAUUUCUGCAUUUCCAAUUGAGAACACAGGAGCUAUGUGGAGAGUUGAUGGAGGGACAUUCCAGGCAGAGAGAACAGCAAACACAAAGGCCUUGAAGGGCUCAACACCACAUGGAAGCUGCCAAGGCUUGGGGCUCGCACCAUCUGAAGACAUGGUCUGAACUCUACGUUGGCCCUUUCAGCC